GUCCAGACUCCUACGGGAGGCAGCAGUGAGGAAUAUUGGUCAAUGGCCGAGAGGCUGAACCAGCCAAGUCGCGUGAGGGAUGACGGCCCUACGGGUUGUAAACCUCUUUUGCCGGGGAGCAAAGAGCGGGACGCGUCCCGCCUCGAGAGUACCCGGAGAAAAAGCAUCGGCUAACUCCGUGCCAGCAGCCGCGGUAAUACGGAGGAUGCGAGCGUUAUCCGGAUUUAUUGGGUUUAAAGGGUGCGCAGGCGGAAGCGCAAGUCAGCGGUCAAAUUGCGGGGCUCAACCCCGUACUGCCGUUGAAACUGGGGAUCUAGAGUGUGCGAGAGGUAUGCGGAAUGCGUGGUGUAGCGGUGAAAUGCAUAGAUAUCACGCAGAACCCCGAUUGCGAAGGCAGCAUACCGGUGCACAACGGACGCUCAGGCACGAAAGCGUGGGUAUCGAACAGGAUUAGAUACCCCUGUAC
rnacentral:rRNA from 1 species